GAUCAUGGCUCAGAACGUACGCUGGCGGCACGCCUAACACAUGCAAGUCGAACGAAGUAGCAAUACUUAGUGGCAGACGGGUGAGUAACAUGUAGGUAUCUGCCCUUUGGCCUGGAAUAACACGAGGAAACUUGUGCUAAUACUGGAUAAGUCUUUACGGAGAAAGCUUUAUGCACCAAUGGAUGAGCCUGCACUUGAUUAGUUUGUUGGUAGGGUAAUGGCCUACCAAGACUAUGAUCAAUAGCUGAUUUGAGAGGAUGAUCAGCCACAUUGGGACUGAGACACGGCCCAAACUCCUACGGGAGGCAGCAGUGGGGAAUCUUGCACAAUGGAGGAAACUCUGAUGCAGCGAUGCCGCGUGAGUGAAGAAGGCCUUUGGGUUGUAAAGCUCUUUCGUCGGGGAAGAAAAUGACUGUACCCGAAUAAGAAGGUCCGGCUAACUUCGUGCCAGCAGCCGCGGUAAUACGAAGGGACCUAGCGUAGUUCGGAAUUACUGGGCUUAAAGAGUUCGUAGGUGGUUGAAAAAGUUGGUGGUGAAAUCCCAGAGCUUAACUCUGGAACUGCCAUCAAAACUUUUCAGCUAGAGUUUGAUAGAGGAAAGCAGAAUUUCUAGUGUAGAGGUGAAAUUCGUAGAUAUUAGAAAGAAUACCAAUUGCGAAGGCAGCUUUCUGGAUCAAUACUGACACUGAGGAACGAAAGCAUGGGUAGCGAAGAGGAUUAGAUACCCUCGUAGUCCAUGCCGUAAACGAUGUGUGUUAGACGUUGGAAAUUUAUUUUCAGUGUCGCAGCGAAAGCGAUAAACACACCGCCUGGGGAGUACGACCGCAAGGUUAAAAC
rnacentral:rRNA from 1 species